UGGGGAAUAUUGCGCAAUGGGGGGAACCCUGACGCAGCCAUGCCGCGUGAAUGAAGAAGGCCUUAGGGUUGUAAAGUUCUUUCGGUAUUGAGGAAGGUUGAUGUGUUAAUAGCACAUCAAAUUGACGUUAAAUACAGAAGAGGCACCGGCUAACUCCGUGCCAGCAGCCGCGGUAAUACGGAGGGUGCGAGCGUUAAUCGGAAUAACUGGGCGUAAAGGGCACGCAGGCGGUUAUUUAAGUGAGGUGUGAAAGCCCCGGGCUUAACCUGGGAAUUGCAUUUCAGACUGGGUAACUAGAGUACUUUAGGGAGGGGUAGAAUUCCACGUGUAGCGGUGAAAUGCGUAGAGAUGUGGAGGAAUACCGAAGGCGAAGGCAGCCCCUUGGGAAUGUACUGACGCUCAUGUGCGAAAGCGUGGGGAGCAAACAGGAUUAGAUACCCUGGUAGUCCACGCUGUAAACGCUGUCGAUUUGGGGGUUGGGGUUUAACUCUGGCGCCUGUAGCUAACGUGAUAAAUCGACCGCCUGGGGAGUACGGCCGCAAGGUUA
rnacentral:rRNA from 1 species